GAACCUGCGGAGGGAUCAUUACUGAGUGAGGGCGCGAGCCCGACCUCCAACCCCAUGUUUCCAAACCAUGUUGCCUCGGGGGCGACCCGGCCUUUGCGUCGGGGCCCCCGGUGGACCCCUCAACUCUGCAUCUUUGCGUCUGAGUAACAUAAUAAAUCAAUCAAAACUUUCAACAACGGAUCUCUUGGUUCUGGCAUCGAUGAAGAACGCAGCGAAAUGCGAUAAGUAAUGUGAAUUGCAGAAUUCAGUGAAUCAUCGAAUCUUUGAACGCACAUUGCGCCCUCUGGUAUUCCGGAGGGCAUGCCUGUUCGAGCGUCAUUACACCACUCCAGCCUCGCUGGGUAUUGGGCGCCGCGGCCUCCGCGCGCCUUAAUGUCUCCGGCCGAGCCGACCGUCUCCAAGCGUUGUGGCACAACUGUUUCGCUUUCGGGACCGGUCCGGCGACGCGCCGUUAAACCCUUUCUCCAAAGGUUGACCUCGGAUCAGGUACGGAUACCCGCUGAACUUACGCAUAUCAAUAAGCGGAGGA
rnacentral:rRNA from 1 species